rnacentral:sRNA from 1 species
UUGUUAGGCACCCUUAUACCUAUUUGAGUUUGAUUACAUUGACUAAUUAUAAGAGUUAGAGAUGGAUUAGGAGUGUUUAGACAACACUUAUACCCAUUUUCUCUUAAAACAGGCUAAAACCAACAAAAAAUUGCUUGAAGCAGUAAAUAGCUUUGUUAGUGUUCCUAUGUUCAAAAUGAGUCACAAUCCAAAUCCUUUGACUAAAUUUAAGAGUUAGAGAUGGAUUAAGAGUGUUUAAACAAUACUUAUACCCAUUUUCUCCUAAAAGAGACUAAAACCAGCAAAAAUUUGUUUAAAAGCAGUAAAUAGCUUUGUUAGUGUUUAUAUGGUCAAAAUGUGUCACAGUCCAAAGCAUUUGACUAAUUAUAAGAGUUAUAGAUGGAUUAAGAGUGUUUAGACAAUACUUAUACCUAUUUUCUCCUAAAAUAGGCUAAAACCAAUAAAAAAAUUGCUUAGAAGCAGUAAAUAGCUUUGUUAGUGUUUCCAUGGUCAAAAUGUAUCACGAUCCAAUGUAUUUGACUAAUUCUAUCAGUUACUGAUGGAUUAGGAAUGUUUACACAACACUUAUACCCAUUUUGUCUUAAAAGAGGCUAAAACCAACAAAAAAUUGCUUAGAAGUAGUAAAUAGCUUUGUUAGUGCUUCUAUGGUCAAAAUGUGUCAUAAUCCAAUGCAUUUGACUAAUUAUAAGAGAUAAAGAUAGAUUAAGAGUGUUUGGACAACACUUAUACCCAUUUUCUCCCAGAAGAGGCUAAAACCAACAAAAAAA